rnacentral:rRNA from 1 species
UGGGGAAUAUUGGACAAUGGGCGCAAGCCUGAUCCAGCCAUGCCGCGUGAGUGACGAAGGCCUUAGGGUUGUAAAGCUCUUUUGGCGGGGACGAUAAUGACGGUACCCGCAGAAUAAGCCCCGGCUAACUUCGUGCCAGCAGCCGCGGUAAUACGAAGGGGGCUAGCGUUGUUCGGAAUUACUGGGCGUAAAGUGCACGUAGGCGGACUUAUAAGUCAGGGGUGAAAUCCCGGGGCUCAACCUCGGAACUGCCUUUGAUACUGUAAGUCUCGAGUCCGGAAGAGGUGAGUGGAAUUCCUAGUGUAGAGGUGAAAUUCGUAGAUAUUAGGAAGAACACCAGUGGCGAAGGCGGCUCACUGGUCCGGUACUGACGCUGAGGUGCGAAAGCGUGGGGAGCAAACA